rnacentral:lncRNA from 1 species
GCUACUGGAGUGGUAUUUGGGCUAUAUGGAAAGGAGUUAAUUUUUCCGUGUUAGUGGAGGAAAGAAAUUCUAGUUUCUGCACAUGAGUAUUAGUGACACGAAGGGUAUGAAGUGAUGGCUUAACCGCAGAAGGUAUUAUACUGAAGAUGGAAUGAGAGCCAAGUGCUUUUUCUCACAGCAGUGGGAGGGUGUCCUCAAUACAAGACAAGUACAGGAAACUUAUGUUUGGAAAGUGAGAG